rnacentral:tRNA from 1 species
GAGGUUAUAGCUCAAGUGGUAGAAAUGCAUGCUUAGCAUGCAUGAGGUCCUAGGUUCAAUCCCCAGUACUUUCA